rnacentral:tRNA from 1 species
GCCUGUGUUUCUCAGAGGUUAGAGAGUAGGCCCCCACUCCCAAUGGUCAUGGGUUCAAUUCCCAGUCAAGGGCA